rnacentral:rRNA from 1 species
AACGAACGCUGGCGGCAGGCCUAACACAUGCAAGUCGAGCGCCCCGCAAGGGGAGCGGCGCACGGGUGAGUAACGCGUGGGAAUAUGCCCUGGGGCUGGGGAUAACGGCGGGAAACUGCCGCUAAUACCCGGUACGCCAUGAGUGGGAAAGGAGCAAUCCGCCCUGGGAGUAGCCCGCGUUGGAUUAGCUAGUUGGUGUGGUAAGAGCGCACCAAGGCGACGAUCCAUAGCUGGUCUGAGAGGAUGAUCAGCCACACUGGGACUGAGACACGGCCCAGACUCCUACGGGAGGCAGCAGUGGGGAAUAUUGGACAAUGGGGGAAACCCUGAUCCAGCCAUGCCGCGUGUGCGAUGAAGGCC